rnacentral:rRNA from 1 species
AUUGAACGCUGGCGGCAUGCUUUACACAUGCAAGUCGAACGGUAACAGGUUAAGCUGACGAGUGGCGAACGGGUGAGUAAUGCAUCGGAACGUGCCCGAUCGUGGGGGAUAACACUUCGAAAGAAGUGCUAAUACCGCAUACGAUCUGAGGAUGAAAGCGGGGGACCGUAAGGCCUCGCGCGAUCGGAGCGGCCGAUGUCAGAUUAGGUAGUUGGUGGGGUAAAGGCCUACCAAGCCGACGAUCUGUAGCUGGUCUGAGAGGACGACCAGCCACACUGGGACUGGGACACGGCCCAGACUCCGACGGGAGGCGGCAGUGGGGAAUUUUGGACAAUGGGCGCAAGCCGGAUCCAGCAAUGCCGCGUGCAGGAAGAAGGCCUUCGGGUUGUAAACUGCUUUUGUACGGAGCGAAAAGGCUCUCUCUAACACAGGGGGCUGAUGACGGUACCGUAAGAAUAAGCACCGGCUAACUACGUGCCAGCCGCCGCCGUAA